GUCAGAGGAACCCAUCUCUGGCGCUCUUUAAGGUGAGAAUCCUUGACAAUCCUGUGGGGCUUAUAUCUCAGCACUUAUUACCACUCUGAGGGGUGGCAGAUAAAAUUCAUUAUUGAUAGUAUGUUAUACUAGUCACUGACUAAGUGAGGUAUAUUACAUUAUUAAUAAUGUGACUGAGUAUUAGUGCAGACGUUAAAAUCAGGA
rnacentral:ribozyme from 1 species